GGAAGUCUCGCAUUCUAAUGUUGAAUGAUAUAUCAUAGCAUUUGCAAGGUACGCAACAUGAACGUUUUCUCUUUUAAACAUUUUGUUUUUUAUCAUUAUCAUUUGAUAGUGAAGUGUUUUGUUUAUUCUUAGACUAGAUAGUUUUGUUUUACAUUUUGUUUAUUUGUCUUUGUGUUGGAAGUUCUUGUGGUUGGAAUUUAAUUCUCAACUUAUCAAUCUGAUUUUUAAAAACAUUUCCAUUGUUCCUCUCAUUACUAGGUGGCUUAAUUGUUUAGAUCUUCUUAAGAAUAUGUACGUUUUUGUGUUUAGGCAAGGUAAUCAGUGUGCUGACAGGAUCGCCUCUCUCUGACUUCGUGGUUCUAGUUUCACUUGGUGGAAUCAUGUUCUUUCUGAUGUCUUUGUAGUUUAUCAUUGUAAUUGGCGUGGUCUUUCCUGAAUUUAGAUUUAAAUAAUCCUUUGUUCUUGUAUUUAAACUGCACUCUUUUUCCUUUCAUCAAGGUUUUAUCUCACUGGAUUUUCCUUGAUAAGGUUUUUAAUGAGGCAGUUGACCAACUUAUUUGGUUUACACUAUUGUUAUCUU
rnacentral:lncRNA from 1 species